GACGAACGCUGGCGGCGUGCUUAACACAUGCAAGUCGAACGGAAAGGCCCUGCUUUUGUGGGGUGCUCGAGUGGCGCACGGGUGAGUAACACGCGAGUAACCUGCCCUCGUCUUUGGGAUAACUUCAGGAAACUGGGGCUAAUACCGGAUAGGAGCUCCUGCUGCAUGGUGGGGGUUGGAAAGUUUCGGCGGUUGGGGAUGGACUCGCGGCUUAUCAGCUUGCUGGUGGGGGAGUGGCUUACAACGGCUUUGACGGGUAGCCGGCCUGAGAGGGUGACCGGCCACAUUGGGACUGAGAGACGGACCAGACUCCUACGGGAGGCAGCAGUGGGGAAUAUUGCACAGUGGGCGGAAGCCUGAUGCAGCAACGCCGCGUGCGGGAUGACGGCCUUCUGGUGAUAAACCGCUUUCGCCUGUGACGAAGCGGGAGUGACGGUAAUGGGUAAAGAAGCACCGGCUAACUACGUG
rnacentral:rRNA from 1 species